GCUGAGUUCGUUUGUUAUUAAAGUUGUUUUUCUCAUAGCCCACUCUUUUUAGUGAUGGCCCUGCUUGUUCUGUGUAGGUAUUGCCAUUUGUGACAUGAUACUCCUGGUCUAAGAUGUGAUCAGGACAAAAAAAAAAAAAAAGUCUGCUGCUAAAAAUAAUUUGAAAACUCCUAGACAAGAGGACCUUUCAAAUCCCUUCCAGCACUAACAACCAGUGAAUUCAUGCUUCACAGCCAUUCAGAUCUGUAAGUAUGAAAUACAAGACGUGCGUAUUCAACUUUCCUUCAUCGCCUCCUUUAAAUGCUUGCUUUUUUUUUUUUUUUUUUUUUUCUUUUUUGAGUCAAUCCCCGCAGGAGCGCACCACGUGAGCCCAUUAAGAGAACAGUUCAUUCCCACCUGCCACCUCCAGCCAGGCCCAGCCGACAAUCUGGGCUUCGCCGCUCCCUUCUUGAUCAUGUACAGCCGUCCCAAUGCCGGGUGGCAGCAUUUGCAGAGACAGCUGUUGGGCUCCGCAAACGUUCGGAGGAGGGCAAAACGUGAGGGAGUAGUCUGGACCCUCGGGGGAGAGUCGCCUGUGACUUCGCGAAGCGGUUGGAAUGAACUACAACUUACUCGUUCCCAGUAAGUCUCCCCGGAGCCGCCACACAGCAGCUGUGAAUUCCCAGCGUGGGACGUGGCCGAGGCCCUGAGCAAAGCUGGCGGCCGUGCUUCGUCCCCAGGCCCAAAGAAUCAGCAGACCCGGACCGAGAAAGCGGGGUAGCUCUUCUCAGUGCAACUCUUGAGCCAACCCGCCCUGAAGGUCUGCCACUCGGCCUUCCCAGAAGUCUGGGCCGGGUUUGCUUCGCAAAAAGGUGAAGCCCCCAAAGGACAGAGUUCAGGAAAGGGGACGGAACGCAAACCUCGCUGGCGAUUAGGCAAGACGCAAGACUUCGGGGAAACGCAACUAAGAUCACCGAGGGUUGUUGGGGCUCAGAAGGGAAAGUAGCAUGUGGUCGUAAAGUGGGGGCGCGGCCAUUCUUUCCCCAUCUAACACGUUUGGGGGCGCUCACCUCUUUUUGCAGCUUCUUCUUGGGGCUGGGGGCGGUGGAGGAUGGGAGGGGUCCAGGGAGUUGACAGCGAGUGCAGAAAGCAUUCCCCGGCUAAAGAUGCCAAAAUUGUGUUUGUUUGUUAAAAAUACACUUCACUGUGUUGUGGCAAAGCUAAAUCCCUCCUCAGCCCCCACGGAGACAGGGUGAUUGGGUUUCAGGGUGAGGUGCCAGCGAGUGCUCUGGGGGGCCUUAAUGUGCCAGCUGCUCCCACAGCAUUCAUUUUAUUUCCAGUCCCUCGGCUGGUUUUACACUUUGUUUUUGUGUAAGGGAAUCAGGAUUAGUGGGUCUUUUGUUAGUAAGGGGGGAGAGGGAGAGAAGCAA
rnacentral:lncRNA from 1 species